rnacentral:tRNA from 1 species
AGCCCCAUAGUGUAGCGGCCAAUCAUCCGGGAUUUUGGGUCCCGGGACUCCGGUUCAAAUCCGGAUGGGGCUA